AUUGAACGCUGGCGGCAGGCCUAACACAUGCAAGUCGAGCGGAGCGGCGUACGGGUGAGUAAUGCCUAGGAAUCCGCCUGGUAGUGGGGGAUAACGUCGGGAAACGGGCGCUAAUACCGCAUACGAUCAAAUGAGACUAGGUCGGAUUAGCUAGUUGGUGGGGUAAAGGCCUACCAAGGCGACGAUCCGUAACUGGGCUGAGGGGAUGAUCAGUCACACUGGAACGGAGACACGGUCCAGACUCCUACGGGAGGCAGCAGUGGGGAAUAUUGGACAAUGGGCGAAAGCCUGAGCAAGCCAUGCCGCGUGUGUGAAGAAGGUCUUCGGAUUGUAAAGCACUUUAAGUUGGGAGGCGUUACCAACAGAAUAAGCACCGGCUAACUACGUGCCAGCAGCCGCGGUAAUUC
rnacentral:rRNA from 1 species